UGCUUAGCUGUUAUGCUGAUGUCAGCAAUACAAUUCUGUUAGACAGCUAGCAAUUAGUAUAAAUAGGGAUUGAGUCAUUCAGUUGAGGCAGUUUUUUAGUUGGUUAGGAUUUGGGAGAUUCUGGAUCUCGAAUUCCAGAGGCUAGGGUUCUUGUAGUGUUCUUGAUUCUUCUGUGUAAUUCCUGAGAAUUCAACCUCAGUACUUGAGGAUUGAGUCUCUGUUUUCUUCAAUAAACCAGUAGCAUUUCUGUGAGUUCAUCAAUUGGUAUCAGAGCUCCAUCCAGGAGCUGUGGUACCAUUCUAUGGUUGCUAGUAGAAUGGAGUCUCGUGUUGAUGCAAUCGAGAGACUCAUCGAGUUGAUGAGUCGCGACAGAGAAGAGGAUCGUCGAAUUCGAGAGGAAGAGCGCCGGGAGCGCGCGAUUGAGCGCGAGAGAACUGAGGAGCGGUUUCGCGCAUUGGAGAAGAUUGUGGAGAAUCUUGCUGCGAAGAGUGACGGUGAGAAAGGGAGCGAAGAACGCACAGGGAAAUUUCAUCGCAGAACAGGGGAGGAGAAAACGAUCGAAGGAACAGAGAGUGAAGGUGAUGUUCAAGGAGAUACAGUGAAUGAGUUGCGUUCUGAGGUUUCUCACACUGAGCGAUGGAGGAAAUUGGAGAUUCCAGUUUUCCAAGGAGAUGAAGAUGCCUAUAGUUGGAUUCAGAAAUUGGAAAGGUACUUCAAGCUUAAGGGAGCUACUGAAGAAGAAAAGGUCCAAGCAAUUAUGGUUGCAUUGGAUGGAAAAGCACUUAGCUGGUAUCAAUGGUGGGAAACCAGCAACACUGCCACAACUUGGGACAAGUUCAAGGAAGCACUGCUAGCCAGGUUCCAACUUGCAGCAGCUUCAAAUCCUUUUGCAGCAAUCUUGGCACUCAAGCAAGAAGGGAGUGUAGAGGAGUUUGUGGAGCAGUUUGAAAGGUUUGCAGGAAUGCUGAGAGGAGUGGGUGAAGAAAACUUCAUGGACAUAUUUGUCAAUGGCUUAAAGGAGGAGAUUUCAGCAGAAAUCAAGCUCUAUGAACCUGACACACUAGCUGCUAUGGUAAGGAAGGCUUUGAUGGUGGAAAAGAAGAAUAUGGCAGUGAGCAAAGCUGGAACCAAUGGUUCUGCCAGGUAUAAUAACUCCUACAAGUCCAAUUUUAAACCUUCAACUUAUCAUAAAACUGUUACAGUUGAAUCUGGUGUGAAGAGUGGAGGAAAUUCAGUAACACAGGGGUCAAAUUCCUCUAGUGGAAGUGUUAAUGACAAGUCUGUUAAUAAAACACAUAGAGGCAACCCAUUUAGGAGGCUAACAAGUGAGGAGAUGAGGGAAAAGAUUAGGAAAGGAGAAUGUUUCAGGUGUGAGGAGAAGUUUGGUCAGAAUCAUGUGUGCAAAAACAAGCAAUUUAGAGUCAUGUUGCUGGCUGAGGGGGAAGAGGGAGCUGAUAUGGAGGAAUAUGAGUUGUUGCUCGAAAAUUCAGAAGAGGUGUUGGAGUACAAGCAUCUCUCAUUGCUCAGUAUACAGGGAAUUUCCACAAGAAAGUCCCUCAAGGUGUGGGGAGGGUUGUUGGGAACCAGAAUUAUAGUUCUUGUAGAUUGUGGGGCAACUCAUAACUUCAUUUCAGGAGCUAUAGCUAGGAAAUUGGGACUUGUUGUCACCACUACUUCCACAUACACUGUAGAGGUUGGGGAUGGGCAUAAGGUGGAGGGAAAAGGAGUUUGCAAACAGGUAAGAAUUCAGAUACAAGGCAUAGAAGUGGUUCAGGACUUCUAUCUUUUUGAUUUGAAAGGAGUAGAUGUGGUUUUGGGGCUGGAAUGGCUCGCUGGGUUGGGAGAUAUUAAGGCCAACUUUGAGAAGCUCACCCUGCAAUUCAAGUUAGGAAACCAGAAAGUGAAGUUAAGAGGGGAACCUGAGCUUUUGAAGAAAAAGGUAUCCAUGAACUCUUUUGUCAAAACAAUACAGCAGCAAGGGGAGGGAUAUAUGUUACAUUACCAGCUGCUAGAGAAAGAAGAAGCAGUUGCUGAGGAGACACCAGCUGAAUUAAAGACAGUUUUGCAGCAAUUCCCUACUUUGUUUGCCUCUCCUACAGAGUUACCUCCUAAUAGAAGGCAUGAUCAUGCCAUACACCUGAAAGAGGGGGCUCAAAUUCCUAAUAUCAGGCCUUAUAGAUAUCCCCAUUAUCAAAAGAAUGAGAUAGAAAAGCUUGUAGCUGAGAUGUUGAAUGCAGGCAUAAUAAGGCCUAGCAUUAGUCCUUAUUCCAGCCCGGUGAUCUUGGUUCGGAAGAAGGAUGGAAGCUGGAGAUUUUGUGUGGAUUACAGGGCAUUAAAUAAGGUGACAGUGCCCAAUAAAUUUCCUAUUCCUGUGAUAGAUGAGCUGUUGGAUGAGAUUGGCCCAGCUAGGGUGUUUUCCAAGAUAGACCUGAAAUCUGGUUACCACCAAAUCAUGAUGAAGGCUGAGGAUGUAGAGAAGACAGCAUUUAGGACUCAUGAAGGGCAUUAUGAAUUCAUAGUAAUGCCUUUUGGACUAACUAAUGCUCCUUCCACUUUCCAAGCACUAAUGAAUGAGGUUCUGAGGCCAGUCUUAAGGAAGUAUGCUUUGGUUUUCUUUGAUGACAUAUUGGUUUACAGCCUCACUAUGGAAGAACAUGUUUUUCACCUCACUCAAGUACUACAAUUGAUGGAGCAGCAAGAUCUAAAGAUCAAUGGAAAGAAAAGUGUGUUUGGCAGGCAACAAAUUGAGUAUUUGGGCCAUAUACUCUCUGCUGGAACAGUAGCUGCUGACCCAAAGAAACUUGAGGCAAUGUGGAUGUGGCCAGUACCUAAGGAUUUGAAGAGUUUAAGAGGCUUCCUAGGACUCACUGGAUAUUACAGGAGAUUUGUAAGGGAUUAUGGCAAAAUUGCCAGGCCAUUGACUCAGUUACUCAAGAAAGACAGCUUCUUAUGGGGAGCAGAACCACAAAAGGCUUUUGAAGCCUUGAAGCAAGCUCUCACUGAAUUACCUUCCCUUGCUGUUCCAGAUUUUUCCAAGGUAUUUGUCCUGGAAACUGAUGCAUCUGGAACUGGUUUAGGGGCAGUUUUAUCUCAAGAAGGCAAACCUUUGGCUUUUUGGAGUGCAACCUUAUCUGAUAGGAGUCAGGCCAAGUCAGUUUAUGUGAGAGAAUUGAUGGCUGUGGUGAGAGCUGUUCAGAGAUGGAGGCAUUAUCUCAUGGGUAGGCAUUUUAUAAUCAGAACUGAUCAAAAGAGUCUUAAGUUCCUUACUGAACAGCAAGUGCUGGGGGAGGAACAGUUUAAAUGGAUUUCCAAACUGGCUGGUUAUGAUUUUGAGAUUCAAUACAAGCCUGGGAAGGACAAUUCAGCAGCAGAUGCAAUGUCCAGGAGAAGUUCUUAUUGCGCACUAUCAGUCAUUAAGGUUAAUGAUCUAGAGGAAUGGCAAGCUGAACUCAUGCAAGAUGAUAAAUUACAGGCUAUUAUGCAGGAUUUGAUUGUGGAUCCUGAUUCUCAUAGGGGAUACACCUUGAGAGACCACAGAUUGUAUUACAAAGGCAAGUUGGUUUUGCCUAAACUCUCUAACAAGAUUCCUAUCUUGUGCAAGGAAUUCCAUGCUUCUUUGGUUGGAGGACAUUCUGGUUUUUUCAGAACUUAUAGGAGGUUGGCUGCAGUGGUUUAUUGGGAGGGAAUGAAAGGGGACAUCAAGGAUUUUGUGGCUCAAUGUGAAGUUUGUCAGCAGAACAAGGUUGAUAACUUGUCUCCUGCAGGAUUACUUCAACCCUUGCCUAUUCCCACUCAAGUGUGGACUGAUGUGUCCAUGGACUUCAUUGGUGGGCUUCCUAAGUCUAAAGGGAAGGACACUAUCUUAGUGGUGGUGGAUAGGUUGACAAAGUAUGCACAUUUUGUUCCUCUCAGUCACCCCUACACAGCUCCUGAUGUAGCUGCUGCCUUCUUACAAGAAGUGGUGAGACUUCAUGGUUUUCCUACUACUAUUGUUUCUGAUAGGGAUUCAGUUUUCCUGAGUAGCUUCUGGAAAGAAUUGUUUAGACUUUCAGGGACUAAACUGAAGUAUAGCUCUGCCUAUCAUCCCCAAACUGAUGGCCAGACAGAAGUUGUGAAUAGAUGCCUUGAAGUUUAUCUUAGAUGCUUGACUGGCUCUAGACCAAAACAGUGGGUUACUUGCUUACCUUGGGCUGAGUUUUGGUUUAAUAGCAACUACAAUAGGUCUACAAAAAUGUCUCCUUUUCAGGCUCUUUAUGGGAGGGACCCCCCUUUGCUACUCCAUGGCACUACAAUUCCUUCUAAGUUGGAGGCUGUGAAUGUGUUACAAGCUGACAGGGAUGAACUAUUAGGGGAUUUGAGAGCUAAUCUUUUGAAGUCCCAAGACAUGAUGAGGAAAUUUGCUAACAAAUCAAGGAGGGAUGUUGAAUAUCAAGUGGGGGACUUGGUUUAUCUCAAGCUUCAGCCCUAUAGAAGAAGAUCCCUAGCUAAGAAGCUUAAUGAGAAGCUCAGUCCUAGGUUUUAUGGCCCUUUUCCUGUGGCUGCUAGGAUUGGUACUGUUGCUUAUAGAUUGGAUUUGCCUCCUACCAGUCGCAUACAUCCAGUUUUCCAUGUCUCCUUACUCAAGAAAGCAAUUGGUACUGGUUUCCAAGUUCAGGACUUGCCUCCUGUUUUGACUGAGGACCAUGAGCUGCUGGUUGAACCGGAGGAAGUGCUUGCUGUCAGAGAAUUAACCCAGGGAGUUGUGGAAGUGCUUAUUCAGUGGCAGUCCCUUCCUGCUUGUGAGAAUAGCUGGGAAUCAGCUGAGAAGAUUCAUGAAGCUUUUCCCACCUUUCCCCUUGAGGACAAGGUGGUACUUCUGGGGGGGGUAUUGAUGAUAGUUUUAUACCUAAAAUACCUAAGUCUAGGUUUACAAAGGUAUAUACUAGGAAACAUAAGGGAAGUAAGCCUUAGAAGGUUACUUCUAAUAUAGCUGCUUAGCUGUUAUGCUGAUGUCAGCAAUACAAUUCUGUUAGACAGCUAGCAAUUAGUAUAAAUAGGGAUUGGGUCAUUCAGUUGAGGCAGUUUUUUAGUUGGUUAGGAUUUGGGAGAUUCUGGAUCUCGAAUUCCAGAGGCUAGGGUUCUUGUAGUGUUCUUGAUUCUUCUGUGUGGGGGGGGGGUAUUGAUGAUAGUUUUAUACCUAAAAUACCUAAGUCUAGGUUUACAAAGGUAUAUACUAGGAAACAUAAGGGAAGUAAGCCUUAGAAGGUUACUUCUAAUAUAGCUGCUUAGCUGUUAUGCUGAUGUCAGCAAUACAAUUCUGUUAGACAGCUAGCAAUUAGUAUAAAUAGGGAUUGGGUCAUUCAGUUGAGGCAGUUUUUUAGUUGGUUAGGAUUUGGGAGAUUCUGGAUCUCGAAUUCCAGAGGCUAGGGUUCUUGUAGUGUUCUUGAUUCUUCUGUGUAAUUCCUGAGAAUUCAACCUCAGUACUUGAGGAUUGAGUCUCUGUUUUCUUCAAUAAACCAGUAGCAUUUCUGUGAGUUCAUCAAUCCGCCACUGUUUUAGACUUUAGUCAAUUACCAUUUAAAAAGAAAAUCAUUGUCAACCUUGCAUGAUAUGCUGAUAUACGAACAAGGUCUCAUGUCUUUAAUAUGAUAUGAUUUGUGACUGCUUUGUUCUUUAGACUUUAGUCAAUUACUAUUUAAAAAUAAAAUCAUUGUCAACCUUGCAUGAUAUGCUGAUAUACGAACAAGGUCUCAUGUCUUUAAUAUGAUAUGAUUUGUGACUUUUCUUAUUACCUGUGUUAUCGUUUGAGGCACUUAUUUGUAAUGCAAUGCUAUGUUUGGACCCUAGGGUAGAUGAUUUGUAUAUCUAUAUUUGUUGGUGGGGUUAUGUUGUGUUUGUGUUUUGCCAUGCACACAAAACUGAAACGUUCUAUACAGAAGAGAGCUCUAUACCCGAGCUGUGAGUCUAG
rnacentral:lncRNA from 1 species